UACAGAGGUCUCAAGCGUUGUUCGGAUUCAUUGGGCGUAAAGCGCACGUAGGCGGAUCGUUAAGUCGGGGGUGAAAUCCUGGAGCUCAACUCCAGAACUGCCUUCGAUACUGGCGAUCUUGAGUCCGGAAGAGGUGAGUGGAACUCCUAGUGUAGAGGUGGAAUUCGUAGAUAUUAGGAAGAACACCAGUGGCGAAGGCGGCUCACUGGUCCGGUACUGACGCUGAGGUGCGAAAGCGUGGGGAGCAACAGG
rnacentral:rRNA from 1 species